GAAUAUUGCACAAUGGGGGAAACCCUGAUGCAGCGACGCCGCGUGGGGGAUGAAGGCCUUCGGGUUGUAAACCCCUUUCAGUAGGGAACAAGGCCAUGAUUUUUGUUGUGGUUGAGGGUACUUGCAGAAGAAGCGCCGGCUAACUACGUGCCAGCAGCCGCGGUAAUACGUAGGGCGCAAGCGUUGUCCGGAAUUAUUGGGCGUAAAGAGCUCGUAGGCGGUUUGUCGCGUCUGCCGUGAAAACCCGAUGCUUAACAUCGGGCUUGCGGUGGGUACGGGCAGGCUAGAGUGCGGUAGGGGUGACUGGAAUUCCUGGUGUAGCGGUGGAAUGCGCAGAUAUCAGGAGGAACACCGAUGGCGAAGGCAGGUCACUGGGCCGUUACUGACGCUGAGGAGCGAAAGCAUGGGGAGCGAACAGG
rnacentral:rRNA from 1 species